rnacentral:rRNA from 1 species
AUGGCAGCAAAACCGACCAUCGUGCUACUGCCCGCGUGGGGCGUCGGCCACUUCAUGCCCAUGAUCGAGGCCGGCAAGCGGAUGCUCCAAUGCUGCAGCAGUGCCCUCUCGCUCACGGUGCUCCUCAUGCCGGCGCCGACGGCGCAGGCCGAGUCCGACAUCGCCGACCACAUACGCCGGGAGGAGGAAGCCGGCGCCACCGACAUCCGCUUCCUUCACCUCCCGUCCGUGCCGCUCCCGACCGACCACACGGGCGUCGAGGAGUGGAUCUCCCGCAUCGUGCAGCUCCACGUGCCCCACAUCCGGGCCGCCGUCUCCGGCCUCGCGUGCCCCGUCGCGGCGCUCGUCCUCGACAUCUUCUUCACCCCGGCGCUCGACGUGUCCCGCGACCUCGCCGUGCCGGCCUACGUCUACUUCACCUCCGGCGCCGCGAUGCUGGCGCUGCUGCUGCGCUCGCCGUCGCUCCAGGACGAGGUGGAGGGGGACUUUGAAGGCCCGGUGGACGUGCCCGGCCUCCCGCCGCUGCCGCCGUCCUUCCUGCCGGAGACCUUGCUGGACAAAAAGAGCCCGACUUACACGUGGUUCCUGUACACGGGGAGGCGCUACAUGGAAGCCAAGGGCAUCAUCGUCAACACGGCGGCUGAGCUCGAGACCGGCGUCCUCGCUGCCAUCGCCCAAGGCCGGUGCACCCGCGGCGUCCGCGCCCCGACCGUGUACCCCAUCGGCCCGGCGAUCUCGCUAAUAAGCCCGCCGGCCGAGCAGCCGCACGAGUGCGUGCGGUGGCUCGACUCGCAGCCUCCGAGCUCGGUGCUCUUCCUCUGCUUCGGGAGCAAAGGGAUGCUGCCGCCACUGCAGGUGCACGAGAUAGCCCACGGCCUGGAGCGCAGCGGCCACCGCUUCCUCUGGGUGCUGCGCGGCCUGCCGCUGGACGCCACGAUGGGCGCGAGAGACCCGACGGACGCGAACCUCGCCGAGCUGCUCCCGGAGGGCUUCCUGGACAAGACGAAGGGGAGAGGGCUGGUGUGGCCGACGAGGGCGCCGCAGAAGGAGAUACUGGCGCACGCCGCCGUCGGGGGCUUCGUCACGCACUGCGGCUGGAACUCCAUCCUCGAGAGCCUCUGGUUUGGCGUGCCCAUGCUGCCGUGGCCGCUCGCCGCCGACCAGCACCUCAACGCGUUCGCGGUCGUCCACGGGAUGGGCGCCGCCGUGCCGCUGGAGAUGGACAGGAAGCGUGGGAACUACGUCCAAGCGGCGCAGCUGGAGCGGGCGGUCAGGUCCCUCAUGGGCGGCGGCGACGAGGGGGUUAAGGCGAGGGAGAAGGCCAUGGAGAUGAAACGCGCCUGCCGCAAUGCCGUGGAGCAGAGCGGUUCCUCCUACGCUUCGUUGCAGAGGCUCUCCGAGGAGCUCGUCGGAGGCGCGGUGCUCCUGCCGAAAACAGGCAGCACCUAG